rnacentral:rRNA from 1 species
UACGUAGGUGGCAAGCGUUGUCCGGAUUUACUGGGCGUAAAGGGCUCGUAGGCGGCCAACUAAGUCAGACGUGAAAUCCCUCGGCUUAACCGGGGAACGGCCUCUGAUACUGGCUGGCUGGAGUUCGGGAGAGGGAUGCGGAAUUCCUGGUGUAGCGGUGAAAUGCGCAGAUAUCAGGAGGAACACCGGUGGCGAAGGCGGGUCUCUGGGCCGAUACUGACGCUGAGGAGCGAAAGCAUGGGUAGCGAACAGG